rnacentral:rRNA from 1 species
UACGUCGGGUGCAAGCGUUAAUCGGAAUUACUGGGCGUAAAGCGUGCGCAGGCGGUUUUGUAAGUCAGAUGUGAAAUCCCCGGGCUUAACCUGGGAACUGCGUUUGAAACUACAAGGCUAGAGUGUGGCAGAGGGGGGUGGAAUUCCACGUGUAGCAGUGAAAUGCGUAGAGAUGUGGAGGAACGCCGAUGGCGAAGGCAGCCCCCUGGGUUAACACUGACGCUCAGGCACGAAAGCGUGGGGAGCAAACAGG